rnacentral:rRNA from 1 species
GUGCCAGCAGCCGCGGUAAUACAGAGGGUGCGAGCGUUAAUCGGAGUUACUGGGCGUAAAGGGCGCGUAGGCGGUUAUAUUAGUGUGAUGUGAAAGCCCUGGGCUUAACCUAGGAAGAGCAUCGCAAACGGUAUGACUGGAGUAUAAGAGAGGGUGGUGGAAUUUCCGGUGUAGCGGUGAAAUGCGUAGAGAUCGGAAGGAACGUCAAUGGCGAAGGCAGCCACCUGGCUUAAUACUGACGCUGAGGCGCGAAAGCGUGGGGAGCAAACAGGAUUAGAUACCCUAGUAGUCC